rnacentral:rRNA from 1 species
CUGACGGUAGUCGUAUGCUCGUCUCCGAGACUAAGCCAUGCAAGUCCAAGUACACGUCCUUGAACGACGGAAACUGCGAACGGCUCAUUAAAUCAGUUGCGAUCUACUCGGCGUUCCGCGCCGCCGGAUAACCGUAGUAAUUCUAGGGCUAAUACGUGCGAAGCGCCGAAGCCGCGAGGCGACGGCGUUCUCGCCGGAUGUAGGAACCGACCCGGGGACCGCCGGGGCAACCCCGGCGCCCCCCGAGACGGGGCGAACCACGGUGAAAUGACGGAUCGUCGGCCCCGCGCCGGCGACUCGCCGAAUGAGUUUCUGACCUAUCAACUCGAGACGGCGGGGUAGAGGCCCGCCGCGGUAACGACGGGUAACGGGGAAUCAGGGUUCGAUUCCGGAGAGGGAGCCCGAGAAACGGCUACCACUUCCAAGGAAGGCAGCAGGCGCGCAACUUACCCUAAUCUCGAUUCGAGGAGGUAGUGACAAGAAAUACCGAUGCGGG